AUGAACGCUGGCGGCGUGCCUAAUACCUGCAAGUCGAGCGCACAGACGAGGAGCUUGCUCCUCUGACGUUAGCGGCGGACGGGUGAGUAACACGUGGAUAACCUACCUAUAAGACUGGGGUAACUUCGGGAAACCGGAGCUAAUACCGGAUAAUAUAUUGAGCCGCAUGGUUCAAUAGUGAAAGACGGUUUUGCUGUCACUUAUAGAUGGAUCCGCGCCGCAUUAGCUAGUUGGUAAGGUAACGGCUUACCAAGGCAACGAUGCGUAGCCGACCUGAGAGGGUGAUCGGCCACACUGGAACUGAGACACGGUCCAGACUCCUACGGGAGGCAGCAGUAGGGAAUCUUCCGCAAUGGGCGAAAGCUUGACGGAGCAACGCCGCGUGAGUGAUGAAGGUCUUCGGAUCGUAAAACUCUGUUAUUAGGGAAGAACAAAUGUGUAAGUAACUAUGCACGUCUUGACGGUACCUAAUCAGAAAGCCACGGCUAACUACGUG
rnacentral:rRNA from 1 species